rnacentral:lncRNA from 1 species
GUACAUUAUGAAUUUUAGAGUAAUCAUUAAAAGCAUGACAAGAGGUUACAUUGUCAGAACAAAGAGAAGUACAAAUAGGAGCAACAGUAGAAACACUAGAAUCAUUUAUACUAAAGAAAGGAACAGCAGGACAGACUGAAGUUGAUGAAGUAUCUAGAUACAAGAAAUAUAAUCCUUUAGCAGCUCUACCAAUUUCCAAUGGCCUCUUCAGAGAAGGGGCCUGUAGAAAACAAGCAAGAAUUGCAAAACAGUCAAGUUGGACAAUCAAAUUGUGGAUAGAUAUCAAAUUGAAGUGAAAUGAAGGAACAAGAAGUACAUUGCAUAAAGUUAUAUCAUGUCUUAAGUGUAAAGAGCUAGUAGAUAUAACUUUUACUUUGUAACCAUUAGGUAGAGUAAUUAGAAAAGGAACAGACAAUGGUUUGAGGUUGUGAAGAAAGUGUUGGUGUGGUAUUAUGUGAUUAGUUGCCCCUGAAUCUAAGAUCCAAGAAUCUACAUCUAAUCUUGAUAAUCCACAAACAUGAAAAUCAGUACUACUGACUACAGAACAUAACACACCUGCAAAGCUAGCAAAAGCAGCAUUGUCACCAAAGGGAGUCUCAGGGGUAAAACCGGAAGCAGGAUAAGCAAGUGCAUGUUGAUUAGGUGUGACAUGUGUCUUGUGAAGAAGACUCAGAAGAUGGUGAUACUGCUAUUUAGUGAAACCAUGAGGAGCAGAAGUUAGAUCAUUAGAAUCUGGAGCAGUGGUUGUACUUUGCACACAAGAAGCUGAACCCUUUCUGCCCUUGGUGAAUUUAAAGUCGGGGAAACCCAUAAAACUUAUAACAUUUGUCAAUAGUGUGACCCGACUUCUUGCACUAUUUACAAAAGACAUAAGAUGAAAGUUGCUUCUUUGAGUCAAAUUGAAUUCUUUGAGAGAAAGACCUAUUAUUGGAACUCUGCCCAGCAGAAGUAGAGAAAGAAGCUGAAUCAUUUGAGAUACUGGGGAUGUGAGUGGUGUUCUCCUUAUGAUGUUCAUCAUGUUGAAGCAUGGAAUAAGCUUUGCUUAUGGAGGGCAUGGGAGACAUCAUCAUGAUGUUGGUUUUGCAUGAAGAAUAUGUGCCAUUUAGACCACUAAGAAACUGAAAAAGUUGUUGAUCUUCUAGGAGUAUAGGUAGAGCCCCACAGGUGCAGGUUGGACCCACAUAAGUAGCAUGAAGUUCAUCCCAUAACCCGUAAAAUAUGUUUUUAUGUCUGAAGAUCCCUGAGUAGUAGCACUAAUUUCCAUUUGAAUAAAUUUCAACCCAUUGGAUUGACCAAACCUUUCAUUUAUGUUUUUCUAGAUAUUUUUAGCAAUAUUGAAUCCUAUAAGGCUAAUGGAAAUCUCUCUAGUCAGGGAAUUGGUCAUCCACGCAAUGAGUAUGUCAUUGCAUCUCUCCCAAGCAGAAUAAUAAGGAGAGUUUGGUUCUGGUUGAGGAUUCCUUCCCAUUAUCACUCCGAGUUUAUUUUUGGUUGAAAGAGCAACUAGCAUGUUCUUUCGCCACACAAAAAAAUCACGACCAUCCAAAGGAGGAGACACUAGGGGAGUAUUAGGGUUAUCUGAUGAAUGAAUGUAAAACGGAUGUGAAGAAUCAACUGAGAGAAUAGUGAAUCCAUCGGCAUUGUGACUAAUAGGGACACUAGUACAUGUCAAACUAGGAGUACUUCCCAUUAUGUUCAAUUCUACAGUUCUACGUAUAGCAAACGAUAUUUCCCACAAAAUUUCUAUAACAAAUCGCAACAAAAAAGGAGAAAAUGAUGAAGAAAUUAUACCGUCUUCUUUCAAAACCCAAAGAAGUAAGGCCUUUGCAGAAUCUAUGAAAUUGAACUGGAAUUGAGCUAUUCUAGGCACACAUAGAAGAGGAAACAACUUGAUCGGAGAUAAAAAAAAAAAAGAAGGGAAAAACCCUAAUUUUUCGACGAACCAGUCGUUCGACCAUCGGAAAAAUCACCAGAGAAAACCGACGAGGGUAACAUCGAUCGGAUGCGGAGAACGUGAACAAGCUAGAUUCUAGCUCUAAUACCAUGUUAGAUCAACCAAACCUCAGCAUUUGAGCAAAAUCAGAUAUGAAAAAAAUCCUAGUU